UACGAAGGGGGCUAGCGUUGUUCGGAUUUACUGGGCGUAAAGCGCACGUAGGCGGAUCGAUCAGUCAGGGGUGAAAUCCCAGAGCUCAACUCUGGAACUGCCUUUGAUACUGUCGAUCUGGAGUAUGGAAGAGGUGAGUGGAAUUCCGAGUGUAGAGGUGAAAUUCGUAGAUAUUCGGAAGAACACCAGUGGCGAAGGCGACUCACUGGACACGUAUUGACGCUGAGGUGCGAAAGCGUGGGGAGCAAACAGG
rnacentral:rRNA from 1 species